UUAGUGGCGGACGGGUGAGUAACGCGUGGAAAACCUGCCGUAUACUGGGGGAUAACACUUAGAAAUAGGUGCUAAUACCGCAUAAGCGCACAGCUUCGCAUGAAGCGGUGUGAAAAACUCUGGUGGUAUACGAUGGUUCCGCGUCUGAUUAGCUAGUUGGUGGGGUAAUGGCCUACCAAGGCAACGAUCAGUAGCCGGCCUGAGAGGGUGAACGGCCACAUUGGGACUGAGACACGGCCCAAACUCCUACGGGAGGCAGCAG
rnacentral:rRNA from 1 species